rnacentral:tRNA from 1 species
UCCCAUAUGGUCUAGUGGUUAGGAUUUGGCGCUUUCACCGCUAAGGCCCGGGUUCAAUUCUCGGUAUGGGAA